UACGUAGGGACCAAGCGUUGUUCGGAUUUACUGGGCGUAAAGGGCGCGUAGGCGGCGUGGUAAGUCACUUGUGAAAUCUCUGAGCUUAACUCAGAACGGCCAAGUGAUACUGCUGUGCUAGAGUGCAGAAGGGGCAAUCGGAAUUCUUGGUGUAGCGGUGAAAUGCGCAGAUAUCAGGAGGAACACCAGCGGCGAAGGCGGCGCUCUGGGCCGGUACUGACACUGAGGAGCGAAAGCGUGGGUAGCAAACAGG
rnacentral:rRNA from 1 species